CCCAUUUGUUCAGGGAUUUCAGUGUAUCAGCACUGCUACAAUAUUGCUGCGAUAGUACUCCAGAAGCCCCAAAACAUGCCUCGUGCAGCCACGUGAAGCUGUGCAUCACCAUCUGGGUGAAGCAUUGGUGCAGGAAGCUCUUGUGGCCAGCCAUGGGAAUAAAGAUCUCUUUGUGGACAUUGGAAAGCAGACAUCCAAGUGAAGUCAUGACCAGGACACCAAAUAACGCUGGAUAAAAAGCAAGCAGCUCAGGAGGACCUAUAUUAAAACCAGGGAUAAGAGGAAAAAUUCAGGAGGGGACAAGUAACCUGUCCAUUUUUUGAGGAACUGGACUGGAUUUUGCACCACUACACAACCACCUAGCCCUGGAAGACUGUGGAACCAACUGCCUGCUCAUUGGAGGAUGAGCAUGAGGAAACCAGCAAGAAGCUGUCCCCUGAGAGCCAAGAUCUCUUUGGGACUCAGGCCCCUGACGCUGGCCAGGUAGAAAGCCAACCUAAUUCCUGCCCGGCAACAACGGAGCCCGAGCCCCAGCCAGAAACCCAGGCCAGGAUCCAAGAGUCAGAUUCCCUGGAGGGAACUUUGGCAGCCGCAACAGCCAGACCCUCAAGGACAGGGCCUCUAUCAACAACCGAAUGGCUGGCCAGCCUGAGGGGAUGAAAAUGGAAACCUCAGGAUUCAAUGUUUGCAGACCUCAUCACAGACUUGUCUCCCCGCCCCCGCCAAAAAAAAAAUCAAAAUAGCGGAGAGGUGAAGGCAGUAUUGUCGGAUGGAGAGGGAAAAAGACAGGGAGCUCUCCCAAGAGAAUGUGGCAUGGCCAAGGAGAGCAUGGCGGUUGCCAGGGAAAGCAUCGCUGUGACCAAAGAGAGCAUGGAAAGAGACAGGAAGAUGUAGAGGCAACUCAUGGAUGCAAUACUAAGCCAAAAUGCUCUGCCGCAAAGCAUGCUGUUGGUAGGGCAGCAGGCCCUGCCGUCCUAUCAGCCAGGACCCAGCAAUGUUCUUCAGACCUUGGGCAAUAAAGGCUACUGAAAACACGAGCAACUCCUCCCUGCUGUACCCCCACAGCAGUACUCCCAGGUGCCACUCCCUUCACAGAGCCAACCUCUGGGCACAGGGAACAGUUGCACCUGGGAGCCCAGCUCUUUUGAGCUUUCCAACACCACAUGUAACUUCAAGCCACACCACUCAACCCCAGAAAUACCCACAAACAAGAAGGCGCAGAGUCAAGGUGUAAAGUCACCAGUGACUUGAAACCCAUUCCCCCCCAUACUUUUCUUCUGCGCUGUUGUACUUUCAGUUGUGGCUUCACUGUUGUUUUAAUUAAAGGUUUCUUUACCAUUGUUAGUUAAUAUAUUCUUUUUAAAAUGUAUUGUUUCAUACUAAAAAUUGUUUUUUAUUGGUUCA